CCAUUCCAGUUUUACUCUUAAAACCGGAAGAGGGAAAAUCUCGUUUUAAUAAAAUGGUGCCAAUCAAAUACGAGGCGGUAGGAGAAAACAGACAACUUUUAAUUGUGCACCGGGAAGUUUAUGGAACACGCCCACUUAAGUGCUCUCACAAAGCGCCUAACAGGUGGCAUAAGUAGCUUUAAAGAAAAUGGGGGGGGGGAGACUCCUCAUUUUAGUUUUAGCAACUGAAGAAUUGAAGGAAAGAAGGUCGUCUAAAGGACCAACAAAUACCCCAGAGGUCGGAUCAAACAACAGCAAGCAGGACGACCCGACGUCUCAGGCGCUCCCGUGUGUCCCAACAGAGCAGCAGACUUACUGAACUGAACCUCUGAGGUUGGGACCCAAGAACUGCAACUUGACAAGCUCUUCAGUUGAUCCUUGUGGUGAUCCUGACAUUUGAGAACCACUGCUGAACAUGAAAGAGGGAAAAUCAGAGUCCAAACGCUUCGAAUACUACUAGAUUAACAAGAAAUGCCUAAGUUAUUGGUUAUCUUCUCCCAUCUGAUCCCAAGAAGCCUGGCAAGCAGCUCAUUAGAUGAGUCUCUUCAGAAAAAACAUGACAAGUGUAAGGGACAUAUUGAAAGGGACAUAGAAAUUCCUUGGAUCUUCGCCCACCCUACUACCUCUCUCAUAUCAACAUGACUUAAAAGUAAUAUUUGAACAAAGGAAUAUUUCUCUUCUAUAUACAAUGUUUGGUUUUUACAGAAUGUAAGGGGAAAAGACCCUAAAAGAUGCCUUAACUUACAUCUACCCAUUUUGUUUGUUCUUUUGUAUGUAUACAUUUAUAUCAUUUUGAUCUUUUAAAUAAAUCAAAAUCCAUCAGGCUAUUAAUCUUACAGUGAUUUUUGAACAUGUUAUUACCAACAUUAUAAAAUCAUUUUCAUAGUUACAUCAACAUGGAGUCCUGUGAACAUAUACUUUGAUGAUUUAUAUUUUUCCAUUAAAAAAUUGCUUUUAUUUAGUUAUAAUUUUCAUUAUGUAUAAUCAUAAUGCAUUUAUAUUUUCAUUAUGUAAAUGCAUUUGAAUCUUGGCCGGUAUAUAUACCUGUGAAACAUCCCUACAAACACGAUGUAGAAUAUUUCUAUAAUCCCCAAAACUGUUCUGUCUGUUCACAUUCCAUGCUGUUUCUCAGCCCCAGACAAACCAUUGAUCUACUCUUAAUUAUAAUCCAUUAGUUUGUAUUUUCCAAAAUUUUAAUUGAAUGAAGUCUUACAGUAUGUACUAUUUUGCGUCUGACUUUCUUCAUGUAGCGAAAUAAGUUUCAGAUCAUCUAUGUUGUAUACAUCAGUAGUCUGUUUCUUUCUGUUGCUGAGAAUUAUUCCAUUACACAGAUGUAACUUUUUUUUACCUCAUUUACCUCUGAAUAGACAUUUGUUUUUUUAUCCCCACUUUUUAGCUAUUGUGAAUAAAUUUGCUAUAGAAAUUCACAUAUCAACAUUUUUUGUGAAUGUUUAUUUUUAUUUCUAAUGGGUAAAUACCUAGAAAUGAAAUGACUAGAUCAUAAGGUUGGUUGUAUUUUAAACAAAUUAACUUUCUGAUUUUGCAACAACAGUGUAUGUGAUAUCCAGUUGUUUAAAACCUUUGUUCAUACUUUACAUUUUAAUUUAGCCAUUCUAAUGGCGAGUAGUGAUUUCUCCCUGUGGUUUUUGUUUGCACUUACCCUGAUGAUUAAGGCAUCUUCUUGAUGUUAUGCAUCUUUUCAUGUGAUUGUUGACCAUUUUGUAUAUCUUCUUUUGUAACAUACAUUCAACUCUUUAACCUAUUUUUUAAUUAAUUGUCUGCGUAUUAUUGGGUGAUAAAGAUUAAGUAUAUUUUCUGAAUAGAAAUUCUUCAUAAGAUAAAUGUAUUAUGAAUAUUGUCUCAUCCUUUGGUUUACCUUUUUGUUGUCUUAGUAUUGUGCUUUAAAAUAUAAAAGUUUUUAGUUUCUAUAAAGUCCAGUUUAUAAUAUUUUUUCCUUUAGAUAUUAUAUUUUUGUGUCCUAUCUAAGCAGGUUUUUGUCUCCUUCAAAGUGGCAAACUUUACUUCUAUGUUUUUUUCUAGAUGUUUUGUAAUUCUAGCUUUUCUAUUUAAGUAUUUGAAUGAUUUGGAGCUAAUUUAGGUAUGCGGUGUGAGACACAGUUAAAUGUUCACUUUUUUCCUGUAUGAAUAGCCAAUCAUUCUAGCACUAUUUGUUCAAAGACUUUCUUUACUCAUUGAAUUGUUUUGACAUGUUUGUCAAAAACAAUAUAGCUUAUAUGUGUAGAUCUAUUUCUAGAUUCUGUAUUCUGUUUCAUUGAUCUAUCUAUAUGUCUAUCAUUUCACCAAUACCACACUAUCUUGAUUACUAGAGAUAUAGAUAAAGUCUUAAGAUUAGUUUGACCUAUAAUUUAGUUCUCCCUUCUAAACAUCGCUUUGGCUUUUCUAGGUCAUUUGCAUUUACAUAUAUAAUUUUGCAUCA